AUUGAACGCUGGCGGCAUGCCUUACACAUGCAAGUCGAACGGCAGCACGGGAGCUUGCUCCUGGUGGCGAGUGGCGAACGGGUGAGUAAUACAUCGGAACGUACCCUGAAGUGGGGGAUAACGUAGCGAAAGUUACGCUAAUACCGCAUAUUCUGUGAGCAGGAAAGAGGGGGAUCGCAAGACCUCUUGCUUUAGGAGCGGCCGAUGUCGGAUUAGCUAGUUGGUGAGGUAAAGGCUCACCAAGGCGACGAUCCGUAGCGGGUCUGAGAGGAUGAUCCGCCACACUGGGACUGAGACACGGCCCAGACUCCUACGGGAGGCAGCAGUGGGGAAUUUUGGACAAUGGGCGCAAGCCUGAUCCAGCCAUGCCGCGUGAGUGAAGAAGGCCUUCGGGUGUAAAGCUCUUCGGUGGGAAGAAUAGUCUUCGGUUAAUACCUGGAGUAGAUGACGGUACCCGCAUAAGAAGACACCGGCUAACUACGUGCCAGCAGCCG
rnacentral:rRNA from 1 species